GAUGAAUGCUGGCGGCGCGCCUAACACAUGCAAGUCGAGCGGAAAGGCCCUUCGGGGUACUCGAGCGGCGGACGGCUGAGUAACGCGUGGGAACAUGCCCCAAAGUGAGGAAUAACUGCCCGAAAGGGUAGCUAAUGCCGCAUAUGAUCUUCGGAUUAAAGGAUUUAUCCGCUUUGGGAGUGGCCCGCGUACGAUUAGGUAGUUGGUGAGGUAAAGGCUCACCAAGCCUACGAUCGUUAACUGGUCUGAGAGGAUGAUCAGUCAGACUGGAACUGAGACACGGUCCAGACUCCUACGGGAGGCAGCAGUGAGGAAUCUUCCACAAUGGGCGAAAGCCUGAUGGAGCGACGCCGCGUGCAGGAUGAAGGCCUUCGGGUUGUAAACUGCUUUUAUAAGUGAAGAAUAUGACGGUAACUUAUGAAUAAGCACCGGCUAACUACGUGCCAGCAGCCGCUGUAA
rnacentral:rRNA from 1 species